rnacentral:rRNA from 1 species
ACUAUUGUCACGGGUUACCGCGGCUGCUGGCACGGAGUUAGCCGGUGCUUCUUCUGUGAGUGAUGUCCUUCCUGCCGGCUAUUAACCCGCAGGCCUUCUUCCUCACUGAAAGUGCUUUACAACCCGAAGGCCUUCUUCACACACGCGGCAUGGCUGGAUCAGGGUUGCCCCCAUUGUCCAAUAAUUCCCCACUGCUGCCUCCCGUAGGAGUCUGGGCCGUGUCUCAGUCCCAGUGUGGCUGAUCAUCCUCUCAGACCAGCUACGGAUCGUCGCCUUGGUGAGCCGUUACCUCGACCAACCAGCUAAUCCGACAUAGGCUCAUCCGAUAGCGCGAGG